rnacentral:rRNA from 1 species
CCCUGAACCGUGCUAAGGUAGCAUAAUCAUUUGCCUCUUAAUUGGUGGCUAGUAUGAAAGGACAAACGAGAGCAUAGCUGUCUCUUACUUACAAACCUAAAAUUAACUUUCGGGUGAAAAGGCCCGAAUUUUUUUAUAAGACAAGAAGACCCUGUCAAGCUUUACUAGGCCUAUUUGCAACCAGAAAUUUUUAACUAUCUGACUUACAUUUACUAAUAGUUUAGUUGGGGCGACUAAGGACCAAAUAUAGCGUCCUCCCAAAUGCCAAGGAUAAUAAUCCCACUAAUCUGAUCCCAUAAAGGAUAAAGAGACAAGCUACUGCAGGGAUAACAGGCUAAUUUUUCCCGAGAGUCCAAAUCGAAGGAAAAGUUUGGCACCUCGAUGUUGGCUUAAGAUUAUAUGGUAGGUUUGUUCACCCUUUAAAAUCUUACAUGAGCUGAGUUCAGACCGGCGUAAGCCAGGUCAGAUUCUAUCUAUAAAAUACAAAACAAAUUCCCAUUCAAUUGUACGAAAGGAUCCUGAAUGGCUAUUCAAUAGAACACAAAUCAAAUAAUAACCCUCUCCCUAAACACCAAAAUUACUC